CUGGUGUUGCCAACUCCUGUGACCCCAACCUUCUUGUAGCGUUCACCUGCAAUAACUUCAUCGUCAGAAAAGUUUAAACCACCUUGACCUGGUCCAUUGAAAGAGUCCGCUAUCCCAACAUUCUCACUGCCCGAUUCUGCUCUAAUUUCAUUGUUACGAAACUGGUUCCCAUAGCUGCCGCCUCCUCCCUUACUCAUUUUAACUUUAGGGAGACUAGGGAGGGGCCUUAUUUAGGAAGAGGCUAAGGACUCUGGGAAUAAGAAGAGGGCUUGAUGAAGUAUAAUUAACUUUUAGAAUGGAUUUAUUCGUGGAAAGCUCUUUUU
rnacentral:lncRNA from 1 species